rnacentral:rRNA from 1 species
AACGAACGCUGGCGGCAGGCUUAACACAUGCAAGUCGAACGCACCGCAAGGUGAGUGGCAGACGGGUGAGUAACACGUGGGGAUCUGCCCAAUGGUACGGAAUAGCUCCGGGAAACUGGAAUUAAUACCGUAUGAGCCCGCAAGGGGAAAGAUUUAUCGCCAUUGGAUGAACCCGCGUCGGAUUAGCUAGUUGGUGUGGUAAAGGCGCACCAAGGCGACGAUCCGUAGCUGGUCUGAGAGGAUGAUCAGCCACACUGGGACUGAGACACGGCCCAGACUCCUACGGGAGGCAGCAGUGGGGAAUAUUGGACAAUGGGCGCAAGUCUGAUCCAGCCAUGCCGCGUGAGUGAUGAAGGCCUUAGGGUUGUAAGGCUCUUUCGCCGACGAAGAUAAUGACGGUAGUCGGAGAAGAAGCCCCGGCUAACUUCGUGCCAGCCGCCGCCGUAAAAC